GGCUGCGUGGUGUAAUGGAUAGCAUAGAAGCUUGCGGAGCUUCCGACCCGGGUUCGACUCCCGGCGUGGCCA
rnacentral:tRNA from 1 species